CAAUAGCGUAUAUUUAAGUUGUUGCAGUUAAAAAGCUCGUAGUCGGAUUUUGGCUGAGAACGAUCGGUCCGCCGUUAGGUGUGCACUGAUUGGUCUCAGCUUCCUGGUGAGGAGGUGUGCUUCACGGCCACUUAGUCACCGUGGUUACUUUGAAAAAAUUAGAGUGUUCAAAGCGGGCUUACGCUUGAAUAUAUUAGCAUGGAAUAACACCAUAGGACUCCUGUCCUAUUUCGUUGGUCACGGGACGGGAGUAAUGAUUAAGAGGAACAGUUGGGGGCAUUCGUAUCUCAUUGUCAGAGGUGAAAUUCUUGGAUUUAUGAAAGACGAACUUCUGCGAAAGCAUUUGCCAAGGAUGUUUUCAUUGA
rnacentral:rRNA from 1 species